UGCAAUAAUGAUACCUGAGACCUUCCCCAGGACUCAGAAUGGCGGGUGACUGGGAGCCCAGCCUCUCUCUCGGAAGCGGGAGUGUGCCGGCCUUGGAUCCUUCAGGAGAAACAGAUACAAGGGCCUUCUGCCUAUGAUAAAACCAAGAACCUCAGAGGUGCACAUGAAAUCCAAUAUACGGGUUGAUCAUGGUGCUAUUGCCUUGAGGAGAGGAAAGAGCCUGUGGGCCUGCCAAGGCAUCCCAUGAUCUUCAGCUGAGCAUCUGUGCCCUUGCAGUGCUGCGGGAGGUCUGGCAGAGUCCCUGUCAGCUGCCAAAGCUGUGCUGGCACUGAUGGUCCAGCAGCCUUUUCUCCAGGGAUUGGUGUACCUGCCACCUCUGGGAAGCCGUCCGAUCCCCUUGGCCUCAUCACGCCCACAGCACCUACAUCUUGCAUUGCACCGAUUCCUCUGAAUGCUGCCUCGUAAGAACUCCAGACGACACUUCACAGCCCUGAAGCAGAGGGAAGGCCCCAGGGUCAAAGUCGUGCUGUUU